rnacentral:rRNA from 1 species
UGGGGGAAUCUUCCGCAAUGGACGAAAGUCUGACGGAGCAACGCCGCGUGUAUGAUGAAGGUCUUCGGAUUAUAAAGUACUGUCAUUGGGGGAAGAACGGUUUUCUUGAGAAUAUUGAGAAGACAUGACGGUACCCAAGGAGGAAGCCCCGGCUAACUACGUGCCAGCAGCCGCGGUAAUACGUAGGGGGCAAGCGUUGUCCGGAAUUAUUGGGCGUAAAGGGCGCGUAGGCGGGGCCCUUUAAGUCCGGUGUGAAAGAUCAGGACUCAACCCUGAGAGUGCAUCGGAAACUGGAGGCCUUGAGGACAGGAGAGGAAAGUGGAAUUCCACGUGUAGCGGUGAAAUGCGUAGAUAUGUGGAGGAACACCAGUGGCGAAGGCGACUUUCUGGACUGUAACUGANGCU